UACGAAGGGUGCUAGCGUUUCUCGGAAUUACUGGGCUUAAAGCGUGCGCAGGUGGUCUAUUAAGUUGGGGGUGAAAGCCCAGUGCUCAACUCUGGAAUUGCCUUUAAAACUGGCUAGCUAGAGGUCGGAAGAGGAGAGUGGAAUUUCCUGUGUAGAGGUGAAAUUCGUAGAUAUUGGAAAGAACACCAAUGGCGAAGGCGGCUCUCUGGUCCGACACUGACGCUGAGGCGCGAAAGCGUGGGGAGCAAACAGG
rnacentral:rRNA from 1 species